AGCGAACGCUGGCGGCAGGCUUAACACAUGCAAGUCGAGCGAGUGAGUUCUUCGGAACGAUCUAGCGGCGGACGGGUGAGUAACACGUGGGCAACCUGCCUCAUAGAGGGGAAUAGCCUCCCGAAAGGGAGAUUAAUACCGCAUAAAAUUAUCGAGUGGCAUCACAUGAUAAUCAAAGGAGUAAUCCGCUAUGAGAUGGGCCCGCGGCGCAUUAGCUAGUUGGUGAGGUAACGGCUCACCAAGGCGACGAUGCGUAGCCGACCUGAGAGGGUGAUCGGCCACAUUGGGACUGAGACACGGCCCAGACUCCUACGGGAGGCAGCAGUGGGGAAUAUUGCACAAUGGGGGAAACCCUGAUGCAGCAACGCCGCGUGAGUGAUGAAGGUCUUCGGAUUGUAAAGCUCUGUCUUUGGGGACGAUAAUGACGGUACCCAAGGAGGAAGCCACGGCUAACUACGUGCCAGCAGCCGCCGUAA
rnacentral:rRNA from 1 species